UUAAAAUUUAAAAUUAAAUAUAAAUAAUACCUAACGAAAACUGACCGUACGAUACACAAUGAAUGGUCACGAUCACGGGUAGAUCCUUUUCCUAAUAAUAUACUAGUAUAUGAGCACGCACACACAACGUGUGUGAGAAUAUUUUUUUUUUUGUUUUGUUUUUGAAAUAGAAGGAGAGAGGAAAAGAGGAAGAGAGUAAUAGAGAAUGUGGCAGUGAGAUUUUAUUUUUUAUUUUUUAUUUUUUUAUAAUUAGAGAUAUGUUAGGAUUACAUGUAUAUGAGGUUUUGAAAACAAAAAAAAAAGAAAAAUUUGGUUGUGUGAAAUUACAUUUCUGCCCCAUAUUUCUUAUUCAUAUUAUGUUUUAAUUAGAAGGUUAAAUCCGUAAUUUCAUAGGAUUUUGGUUGACAAUGAGUGUUUUAUUAAUUAGUAGAGAUAUAUAAUAUGUAUGUGGUUCAAUAUCCUAGUAUAUAGAGUGUUAGGUUUCCACCCAUAUAUUCCAGGUUCAAAAUUCCCCAUUCGUUAAUUUAUUAUUAUAGUUCGAAUACUCUCCUUCCCUUAAUAAUAAUAAUAAUUUAAAAAAAAUUGUAUAUAAAAUAUAAAAAUAUUGGAGCCCUUCCACAAUGGAUUCCUAAGCCGCCGCCUAUUCCAGCUAUCUGACUUAGAUCCUCUCCUGAGCUAGCCCCAACGGAGCCUAGGGAUCAAUUGAUAACAGCCCUUCAAUUUGAUCAUGCGGCCAAGAAGCUUUCAAAUUGUUUCACGCAACCCAAGGCAAUUUUGUUUGCCUUUUACCAUUCCCGCUCAUAAUCCACUUGUCUCUCAUCUCUCCCCCUAGUCUCCAGCUUUCUACAAAAAGCUCCCGUGAUCUCCAGCUUCCUUGCUCCAAAAAAAAAAAAAAAAAUCCAAUUGCUGCAUGCAAUCUGGUGACGGAGAAGGAAGCGGCCCUGGCCGGGGUGUGGGCCCAGCUAGCCGUGCCGGAUCGACAUCAUCGGCUGCUUCGCCUUCUUCAUCGUCUUCAGCCGUGUUGACGCCGCAACUGGGUUUUGAUUCGGUGCAGCAUCAACAUCAGCAGCAGCAAUUGUCUAGACAGUUAGAGGCAUAAUUUGUAGAAAAGAUAGCUAUGGUUGAUGAAACCUUGUACCUAAUCGCCGUUUGAAUCGAUGAGCUGAAGAACGAAGACAUGAAGCUCUCCGUUUGAAUUCAAUCUGGAGGAUUUCCACGAUUGCCCUUACACUGGGAGAAGAGAUGUGUAGCUGUUGUUUUUUGGUCAUCAUUGGAUUUCCUGAUGUGUAGCUGUUGUUUUUUGGGUUAGUUUAGUGAACUAAGAAAUCCAAAUGUAUUAGGGACUCACUAGAGAAUGCAUGAGUUAGGGCAUGUAAAGCUAGAGGUUUUCUGUAAACCAUAACUUGUUAUGUAAAUGUCUACGUAACGUUUAUCUUUUA